rnacentral:rRNA from 1 species
ACUGAGCGGCGGACGGGUGAGUAACGCGUGGGCAACCCGCCUUACACAGGGGGAUAACAGUUAGAAAUGACUGCUAAUACCGCAUAAGACCACAGUACUGCAUGGUACAGUGGUAAAAACUCCGGUGGUGUAAGAUGGGCCCGCGUCUGAUUAGGUAGUUGGCGGGGUAACGGCCCACCAAGCCGACGAUCAGUAGCCGACCUGAGAGGGUGACCGGCCACAUUGGGACUGAGACACGGCCCAGACUCCUACGGAAGGCAGCAG